UUUGUGGCUCAUCUGCAAAGGGAGAAGGCAGUAAGAGAGUUGCAUUCUGGACUAGUGAAAGUAAAGAUACCACUUUGCUCAUAGUGAAACAUCCAGUUGAAAAGAGAAGUGAUGGCUCUCAGUCCCGUGGUGACAGUGUUUGGCCCGAGAGCUCUGAGGGCCUGUGUUUGCCUUGCUCGGUAAAUAUUGAGUGAGUAAACAGAGCCUGAGUGGGCUCUAGAAUAAGUUUCUCUUGUCACUCUGGAGCCCGUGCCUUUUCAAGUGAUCAGCAUCUUCCACUUCCUUAAGCAUGUGUGAGUUCGCAGACCCUGCGUCUCUUUCCUCCUGUUUGUCUUUCUCUCUCUUUGUAUGUGGUGGACACGGGUAUUUCAUGAGCUACAAGGAGUAACCAGGGCUGGAGGGAGGGAUGGGUCAGCAGUUAAGAGCACUGGAUUCCCCUCUAGAGAUUCAUAGUAAGGUUGGAGACAAAGAAUAAUAAAAUAAAAAUAAAAUAAAAUAAACAAAUGCCUGUAAUCAAGUUUAAAGAGAGUUCUUAGCUUAUUGGUUGGUGAAUUUUUCAUUACAAAAAUUAUUCUGAUUGCUGACCUGCAUGAGUAUCAUGACUACACAACUAAUGUUGGUGACUGUGUUUUGUCCCGUGGCAUCUCUUCUCAUGACUGUCUCAGAUGGCGUGAGCAGUGCUUCCGGUGUGCCCCAUUGUCUUGUUCGAUUCUCUAUUACACCUUGUGAAGAAUCAAUGUUUACGUGGCAGUCCUGGCCUGUAGAGGAAACAGCUGCAGACAUCCAGUUUUCAGAGCAAACUGCACCUUUAGCUUUUUGCUGAGCAACUGAACAUGGACUGGGAAUGCUAAACAUGAUAUACUAGCAUUUGAUCAAACAGCUUCGAAGCUGAAUAUUUUAACUCUGGAAUAUCUUGAAGUGUUCACCUAGAAGACUUCCGUUAGUGGUGACCCUGCUUUGGGCUGGAAAACCUGAUCCACGGGGCCAAUGCUAAUAUCUGUGAUGGUGUAGUGUUUUAUCAGAGCCGAAGUCUUGGUAUGUGGCCCAGACUAACAUCAAAUUCACUGUAUAGCCUAAUGUGACCUCAGAUUGGCAGCAACCUUCCUUUCGGCUUCCUGAGCACUGGAAUUACAAGAUGAAAUAGGACCAACUUCCUCACAUUCCUCCCUUCACAGAUUCCUCAUCAUAAUGGACUGCUCCCUCAGACUGUGAGGAAGGAGAGACAUAACCCUUUGGAAGUGAGUUGGGAGCCUAGCUGUGAUUAGACCCAAGAUAUGAUCAGUGUCCUGCUCAGCCAUCACCAGAGAACCUUCCCACCUCGGCAAAUGGGAACAAACACAGAGACCCACAGUCAGACAUCAUGCGGAGAGCGAGAGACGUUGGAAUACUCAGUACAGAACUGGAUAUCCUCGUCCAAUCCCUCCCCUAAGGGCUCAGAGAAGCCCAUGGAAGACGAGGCAGAGAGAAUGUAACAGCCAGAGGGGAUGAAGAACCCAAGGAAACAAGGCCAUCUGAACCAUCAAGACAGAUGCACACAUGAACUCACAGAGACUGAGGUAGCAUGCACCGAGCCUUCAAAGUGGGCAUGUGAUAGGGUUCAGGUGCUGAAAGGAGAAAUGGAUACAUGUCCCCAUCCCUAACCUAGAAGCUAUCUCCCACUGAUAACCACUUUCAAAUAAAAGUUUUUUUUUUCCAAAGGAGUCUCACUGGAGAAACAAACUACUCUUAAGGGGAGGGGCAUGACCAGCUGCAGACGCCAACAGUCGGUGAACUCACAGGCAUUGGUGGAGGUCCCUGUCUCAGUGUCACGUCAGGGCCUUUUCUUCUCUUUUAUUAGUUUUAAACUUUACCUUUUUUAUUCUUUAUAUUUAUAAUAAAGGAUCUACAGGUCCUUUGCAUAUACAUUACAGGAUCUGGUUUUACGUUUUUAUGGAAAGUUUGAGCAGACAAAUGAGUGGCUCUUAUGUCUUUUCUUGGGCUCUUUUCCUUCUGUUUGUAUUCUCCUAUUCUGAUUUGUUUCUAUUUUAUCAUAUUAUAUUAUAUCGUUUCAUAUAAUAUUCCCUUAUACACAGGGAAACAGAAAGAAAGUGGAUCAGGAUGGGAAGGAAUGUGGGCAGGAACAGGGCAGAGUAGGAGGAAAGAAACUGUAAUGAAGGUAUGUUGUAUGAAAACAAUCCAUUCUCAAUAAAAGGA